rnacentral:rRNA from 1 species
GACGAACGCUGGCGGCGUGCUUAACACAUGCAAGUCGAACGGAAAGGCCCUGCUUUUGUGGGGUGCUCGAGUGGCGAACGGGUGAUUAACACUUGAGUAACCUGCCCUUGACUUUGGGAUAACUUCAGGAAACUGGGGCUAAUACCGGAUAGGAGCUCCUGCUGCAUGGUGGGGGUUGGAAAGUUUCGGCGGUUGGGGAUGGACUCGCGGCUUAUCAGCUUGUUGGUGGGGUAGUGGCUUACCAAGGCUUUGACGGGUAGCCGGCCUGAGAGGGUGACCGGCCACAUUGGGACUGAGAUACGGCCCAGACUCCUACGGGAGGCAGCAGUGGGGAAUAUUGCACAAUGGGCGGAAGCCUGAUGCAGCAACGCCGCGUGCGGGAUGACGGCCUUCGGGUUGUAAACCGCUUUCGCCUGUGACGAAGCGUGAGUGACGGUAAUGGGUAAAGAAGCACCGGCUAACUACGUG